rnacentral:rRNA from 1 species
AUUGAACGCUGGCGGCAUGCCUUACACAUGCAAGUCGAACGGCAGCACGGGGCAACCUGGUGGCGAGUGGCGAACGGGUGAGUAAUGCAUCGGAACGUACCUUUCAGUGGGGGAUAACGUAGCGAAAGUUACGCUAAUACCGCAUAUUCUGUGAGCAGGAAAGCAGGGGAUCGCAAGACCUUGCGCCGAUUGAGCGGCCGAUGUCAGAUUAGCUAGUUGGUGAGGUAAAGGCUCACCAAGGCGACGAUCUGUAGCGGGUCUGAGAGGAUGAUCCGCCAAACUGGAACUGGGGCACGGUCCAGACUCCUACGGGAGGCAGCAGUGGGGAAGUUUGGACAAUGGGGGCAACCCUGAUCCAGCCAUGCCGCGUGAGUGAAGAAGGCCUUCGGGUUGUAAAGCUCUUUCGGCCGGGAAGAAAUCGCACGGGCUAAUACCCUGUGUGGAUGACGGUACCGGAAUAAGAAGCACCGGCUAACUACGUGCCAGCAGCCGCAGUAAUAC